CUAGAGAGAGAAGGAUCUGGCUGCCCAGGAAGCUGAGGCCCGGGAAGACGGAUCAGCCCCUGAUGUGACUGGGGCUGCAGAGCUGGAUCAUAGAUUUCCUUCUGCCCCGUGAAGCUCUUUCAGCGGUUCCCAGCGCAGCUGCAGAUGAAAGUCUUUAAACAACGAGCGAUGGUGCGAUUGCACCUUGGUGCUUUCCCAGGCACACCUGCACUGGGACGUCUCGUGCUGCGUCACCCCAUGUGCCAGCAGCCACUGCUUCCCGGUCGCCGUGUUUGUACUGAGACUGCCUGAAGGAAUGUUCCUCCUCGGCGUUGCGGAGAGGCUGGGUUCGCUGACACCCCGUUAGCCUCCCCAGGCUUCUGGACCAGGCUGGUCCCAUUUGGGGGCAGUGUGUGGAAUCCCAGCAGCCAUGAUGUCUCGGUAAUCUUGGUCAGGUUUGUCACUUUCCAUCCCUGCUGUGGAUUAGAAGCAGAGGUAAUUUGCAGAUGACAAAUAUUCCCAGCAGUAAAU